CAUUUCAUGCUGCAUUUCUGAAGUAUAUGCAUACUUGAGUGGUUUUGAGAAAAUAUAUUCAUCUUGGAAUUUUUUGCAUCAAAGUACAGCAAAUAUAUUAACCUGUGAGUGCGAUCUGGUGGAAUGCAUGUGUUUUUCUUCCGUUCAAGAAGUACUAAGAUUCCCAUUCCACAAUAAGUUUUGACACUGCAUUGAACUUAAAAUUACCGAUUGAUUUUAUUGCUUUGACUUUAUCAAACAUAUUGGCUUACAUGCAUUUGACUGUCUAUUACUGCCAGGAUUUUGGUUAUGUACAAAUGACUUUCACCGAAAUGUCGAAGUCUUAUGUUUUUAAUGAGCCGAUUGUGGUUGGUGCUGAACAUUUGCAAUCUCUUGGCCCUGCUUCCAUUUUUGUGGUAGAAUGUCAUCCGAAUAAUCCAAUUCUCAUAUAAAAGGGACUUAAGUGGUGUAAUUUUGAUUGUUUUCUUGUGCGUCACAUCCUAUUGAUUGCUGAAGUUGGAUAUGUUCAGCAAGGGACCAAAAGAUAGCCAGGAACUGCUGUGACAAAAUCUGUUGUAGCAACUGAGCCUGGGGGUCAAACGAGGGAGGAAAUCUUUGUUGAUAUAAUCGAGAAAAUCAGCAUCACCUUUAGCUCAAGGAUAUAUACUGACUUCUGUGAUAGAUGGGAAAAUUCAGAUGAAGAGCUAUCUCACUGGCAAUUCAGAAAUCCGCUUAGCUUUUAAUGAUGACCUGGGCAUUGGAAGAGGCGGGAGAUCAGUCUAUGAUUACCGGAGUUCAUCUGGGUCUGGAGCAGUGAUAUUAGAUUAUUGUAAUUUCCAUGAGUCGGUACGUCUAGAUAGUUUUGACAUGGAGAAAACUUUGAGCUUGGUG